CCCCCUAGGUUCCCAGCACCACCAUUUUGCUCUCUUCCUUCCCCUCGCCGCGAUGCCGCGCUCUUCCCCCAUCCUGACCGCGGCCGCCCGGCCUGCCUCCCCCACUACGGCUCGCACCCCACCCCACCUCCAGUUCGGGCUCUCCCAGGCUUAAGAGCCUGCCGGAGAAAAGGCACCUAAAUCUAACGCUACACCGAGAAGCAGAGCCUCCAUCUUGCGCUGCUCCGCGUUCUCCAUUUUGGGCCACCCAUUGGGGGGGUCUCCGUAGAGGCCCCGAGGGAGAGCGGGGCGAGGGAAGGAAGAGAAAGCCUUCAGCGAGGGUAGUCGAAAAGAAGAGUCCUGCGGUAGAAAGCCACUCUAGGAGUAGGAGAGUUUGUUCAGAAAAGUGCUGCGGGCCCCAGUCCUGUCCUGAGAAGUGGAAUUUAUUUCCUGGGGUACUGAAAGAUGGAGAGUACACCCUUAGAAUUUGAAGACAAGAGACACAGCCUUCACUGAAUGGCCAGAUCUCCAUGGAAGCAAAAUUGAAACUUGAUACCCUGGAGUAUUUAAGGAUAAAGGAGGCAUUACAUCAGCAAUUUAUACUCAAAUGGUUCAGAAAGAAAGUUCAUAGAAUUGUGCAAAAGAUACAUAGAAGAGCAUCCAGACCAAUGCCCUCAUUUUUCGAAGGAGAAACUGAAGACCAAGAGAUUAGCAUUCCCAGCAUAACAGAAUAUCCGGUGACAGAGUGAGGAGCAGCAGCCUCCUCCUCUCGUGCCAAAACCCUGAGCUAUUUCUCUACACCAUUAGAGCACACACUCACCAGACCAGACUUAAAUAUUAGAUCAUAAUUUUCUGCUUCCUGACCAAAUGUAGUAUGCUUACUGCCUCACAGAGUAGGAACAUCUAUCUAGCACGGUGGAUCCUUGAUAAAUAAAAUUUGGUACUCAAUAAGCACUCGAUAUAUCCAUUAGUUUGGAAUGCCUUUCAUAUACUCUUUUUUCAUUUCAAAGAUGCCUUUUGAUUUAUUUACAAAGCCAUAAAACCUGACAUGUGUUUUCUUAGUGCUAUAAAUGAAGAGCUGGCUACCAACAAUGAAAGUAGAUGACUUGUUUCCCAGUGGGUGGGACAUCCAAAUGUCUAGGUGCCAAAUUAUAAAAUGAGAUCAACCUUGGAGUCUUUACUGAGGUUUUAUUCUUUCAGAUUUAAAUAUGGUUUAUAGAACACUUUGAGAAUCAAUUUAAAGUCACUUUGCAGGGCAAAACUGUAUAGCCAUUUAGAUAUUCUUGAAGGAAAAGUGUAUUAAUUAGUAGCACAAGAAAAUGCAAAAACUAAUGGUGAAGUUAUUUGUCCCUAUUUUUAAAAAAUAAUACUUUCUUGCAAUUUUCAGAAAGACAAAAUGAUAAAAUUUGAAUAUUUUUUCAAAAGGACUACCAGAUGAAACUUAAUGAGGUUAGUAGUCUAAGAUCCCAAUCAUCAGAGACUUUUAACUGGGGUAUUUAUCCCUUUAUGAGUUGUUGAAACAUUUUUAAGGUUUACAACCUACCAUUCAGUAAGUUAAGACCAAUAAAACACCCACUUGGCCAAUUCAGCCAUAUCCCAAGAAGAAAUAACAGAACAGUCAGAGUUUGAAAGGAUAUUCAUUAGUUGCAACUGUUGUGAUAUAGACCUCAAGACCUGUGAAGUAUAUUGAUCAGAUUUUUUAUACAUAGUAAAAAAAAUGACAUGCUGUUUGAUCUGAACUCAGGUUUUAGCCUUCAGUUUGUAGAUAGAACUAUGUUUAAAAGUCAAUCAAAAAUUAAUGUGACCAGUAUUUGCUGUUGUGAUAUCAUUAUUUCAACCAAAUUGUGAUUCAAUGCUAAGGAGGAUAGCUGGAAAUGUUUAGAAAGUCACAAACACAGCAGAUAUUCUAGUCCACCUUUGGCUCCACAGUUUGUGCUCUUAUUCACUGCACUACCGUUGAUUAUAUGAUACCAUUUUAUAAAACUUAAAAUAUGCAAAGUAAUGUUCUAUGCAGUUUAUGGAUAGACACAUAUGUGAUAAAAAUGUGAAAACAUGCAUGGAAAUGAAAGGCAUCAAAUACAUGAAUUUGGCUCCUUCUGAGAAAGGGAGACAGGGGAAAUGAAUGGAAACAGAAAAUUUUAGCUAUAUCCAUAAAGUCUUAUUUCUAGAAAAAAAAAGAUAUUUAGUAAAUACAGGAAACAUAUAAGAUUUGACAAUGCUGGGCUGUGAGUACAAUGGAGCUUAUCAUAUUAUUCUCUAUGAGGCUUAUAAUUUUAUUCUCUCUAUUACCUUUAUUUGUAAAACAUUUCACAAUUUUUAAAACAGAUUUUUAAAAAGAAAUGAAAAGGUAUAUUAUGAAGCUGGAGUAUGUGUCUUGGAUCUCCAAUGUAAUAAACAAUCCUGGUUGUAAUUUUAAAUAUUUACACAAAUAAUGUGAAAUAAAGAUUUUGUGAAAUUCAGAA